rnacentral:ncRNA from 1 species
AAAAAUCUUACUAACUAUAUUAGCAACACAAUUUGUACUAUAGAUAAAAUCUUAAGUACAGUCGCUCUGCUCGAAGCGAUACAGCGGUUUAACUGGUGUUAUGAAUUGAAGCAAUGCGAGAGUCGGCAUUUUAACAGGCUUGGCGGUGUCCUGUGUGGGUGCUUUGUAAAUGGUAGAAAUAGAAAGUAAGCUAUGCCAUUAGUUGCUGGGCGGGACUAGCAACAGCAAGCGAAUUAGCUUGAUACAAAGUAAGU